rnacentral:lncRNA from 1 species
CGGGUUUUAGAAACAUUGAUAUAACCACUCCGCCUAGGAGAAAAGAAAGACGUGUGUGAUAUUUAGCAGCAAAUCAAAUAGCUGACUCAUACCAAAAGAUUCAAUUGCCAAAUCCAACACAGGCUAUUCAGCUAGAAGUACCAAAUGUUUUUCAAGGAGGGCACAUUAGUAGCAAUUCUAGACACACAUAAUGAACUAAGUCACAGAACAGCUGCAUCAACAUGGACGAGAAGACGAGGUUGCAGAAUGAAAGACCUCCACAGAGAUGCAAAACGGACACUCAGCAAAUAUGCAUUUCCAGCUAAAAAUGUUCACUGCAAUUCAAACUGGUGGUUUCACGUUUGUUUCAAGUUGCUAUUUUCUUUAAGAGACUUGAGUCUUCUGUAGCCCUUAUCGGUACCAAAGAUCCUGAAGAACACAAAGAUGAAAUUGUUGAGGUACCUAUUACAAAUGCAAAGAGAUAAUAAUAGCUCAGAUCAGAUGUUUACCAGUCCAUAUACACAAAAGUUGAAGAGUAGUUUCCAGACUUUGUGUAGAGGAGGCGGUGAUGGUAGUCAUGGAAGUCAGCACUGUAACCAUAUUAGUGAAAAAUUUCAAUUAUUACCAAUCUAUGAAAGCUUUUAAGUUUUCAAGAGAGCUGGCUAGGUAAUGUGAUCUUACCCUCCAUACAGAGGAAGGAAAUUUGAGAGACUCCAUGGGAAAUGAUAGCCACAAUGUGCUUCCACUGUCUCAAGCACUCUCAGAACCAUCCAUAACCAGAGAGUAAUCAAGUGCGGGCCGGUUAGAGCUGGACCGACUAUGGUAGCAAAUCCCAGGAAUAGAAUCUCAGCUGGGUGAGCAUAUUCUGAUGUCAAACCGAACGGUGUGGCAUAUCUGGGAUAAUUAUAAAAUGGCUGCUCUCUCAGAACUUAUCCAAACUUAAAAAGAGUAAAAUAUGAACUGAAACUUACUCAUGAUGCACACUGUGGACGUUCUUGUAAAGCCAUUUUGAGUGCAAGAUCCGAUGACCCCAAUAGAAAACAAAAUCCUCAAUGAUGAAGUAGAAUAAUAUCUGGGCAGACACUUCUUUCCUGCAGGAGCAUCACCAAAACAGGGUCUUAUAUGACCUGAUCAAACAUAAGCUCAGGUGCUUUCAUGAUGCUCAAAACUGACAUUUUUUUCAUUUUUUAUUGCCAGUUGAAAGAGUUUAACAUCAGAACCCAAAGGAAAAAAAAAAAGCUUAAGCACUAAAGGAACCUGAUAAUACCAGGAAGGUAGAGGAAAACUGCUCCGCAUUCCCAUGGCUCUGAAGACAGGAUAGGAGGCCAUCAUAAGGGGCAAAUUCACGCAGAAAUGAUAAAGCAACAGGCGGGUGAUACAUUUUCCUUGGGCAGCAGGUGUGUUGUUCUUUGCCUGCAUGUGACCAAAACAACAGUAUUUGCUCAUCAUAAAAGUAAGGUAAGCUGAGAGAAAGGACAAUAAAUUAGUUUAAUCAGUGAAACAACAAUUUUUAUUUUUACAAACAGUCAUGAACUGGAAAAAAAACAAUUACACAAGUGACUGAUACAUUGGUGACCAACCUAAUAAGAGAUCCUAUUGAAACGAAUCACGAAAAGGUAUCAAAUUCAUACAUAUGAGACUUUUUUUUGAAUAACCCGGUGUAUCCUGGCUCCACCGAGGUGGGUCCAGACUAGCGGGGGAGUGUACGUAACAGCCUACGUUAUCGGCCGGAAUAAGCCUCGGUCACGGGACGCUGGGGGAGCCCAGAUGUUAAAUUUUACCCCCAGUGACCAGCGGGAUUCGAACCGGGGUCAGUAUUGGGACUUUACAAACAAUGAAAUAAGAGAGUUACCUGAAUUUUGUACUUGGUGAGAAAGCCAUGUCUUUCGAGGUAAAUGAAAGGGAGACCAGACAAGAAGAAGACGCUUUCAUGGAGGAGGAAACUCCCAAUGCAGGCCAGUUGAAAGUCGCUAAAAUGCGUCACAAGGUACUGCCAUCAUCCACAGAAAAAAAAAACAUAUUGAUCAGCAACAGAACUUACAUGUCAUUGAUAGCAACAAAAAAAAAAAAACUAUGGCAAAAAGAAAACACAGCGUCAUUAAUUAAGUCGCCUCCUCUCUUUCUAUAUCAUUAAGUGGUAAAAGCACAACACAGGCUAUUCAGCUAGAAGUACCAAAUGUUUUUCAAGGAGGGCACAUUAGUAGCAAUUCUAGACACACAUAAUGAACUAAGUCACAGAACAGCUGCAUCAACAUGGACGAGAAGACGAGGUUGCAGAAUGAAAGACCUCCACAGAGAUGCAAAACGGACACUCAGCAAAUAUGCAUUUCCAGCUAAAAAUGUUCACUGCAAUUCAAACUGGUGGUUUCACGUUUGUUUCAAGUUGCUAUUUUC